CCAAACUUGGUCAUUUAGAGGAAGUAAAAGUCGUAACAAGGUCUCCGUUGGUGAACCAGCGGAGGGAUCAUUACAGGGUCUAACGACUGCCCAAACCAAACCGUGAACCGUCCCGACAAACAUAUGCUUCGGCGGGCCGCUCGCUGGGGGAGCUCCGGACCGCUCGUCGGUUGGUCCGCCGCAGGCAUGCUGCCAAAACUAUUCGGAAGACUGCUCUGAGAAAAUUCUACCCUCGCGAGAGGAGUAAAAACGAUCACAACUCAUGACAAUGGAUCUCUUGGCUCUGGCAUCGAUGAAGAACGCAGC
rnacentral:misc_RNA from 1 species